rnacentral:lncRNA from 1 species
UCCUUCCGGGUGCAGGCGGGCCUGGGCAGUCUGAGUCCUACCUCAGCCCCCACCUCACCUCCCUGCAUCCUCCUAGCAUCUCUGCAGGGCUAGCCCAGAGGUUGGCGGCGGAAGGCCCACAGCUCCCCUGGCUCCAUGGGCAAUGACCGAACAGCCCUUCACCUCUCUGGGCCUUGUUUUCUCAAACUGAAACUGGAGAGGAUGACCCCAGCCUGGGACCUUCGAGGGCCUCAAAAGGGCUCUGGGCCUUGCGUGGCUGGACGAUGAAUGUGAUGGCUGGAACUCAAGCAGCCACAGUGGAUCAUAAGGGACGGUGUCUUGCUAUGUUGUCCAAGCUGGUCUCAAACUGGCCUGAAUCAAUGCUUCCACCUCAGCUGCCAGAGGAACCGGGAUUACAGGCCUGAGCCACUGCAGCCAGCCAGUUUGUUAUUUUAAUGUAAAUUCUUAGUAAACAACUCAGGAGCUCUCUUGUCCUUUUAAAAUCCAUUUCAACUUCUGCUAAUCGGAGUGUAUAUUCAGGGCAACUUGAAUCUGUGCUCCUGGGAUGCAAUCCUCAAGCUUGGCCCAAAUAAAGUCUCCGCUGAUAUUAA